UGGCGGCNGGCCUAACNCAUGCAAGUCGAGCGGCNGCGCGGGGGCNACCCUGGCGGCGAGCGGCGGACGGGUGAGGAACNCAUCGGAAUCUACCUUGUCGUGGGGGAUAACGUAGGGAAACUUACGCUAAUACCGCAUACGACCUACGGGUGAAAGCGGCGGACCGCAAGGCGUCGCGCGAUUGGAUGAGCCGAUGUCCGAUUAGCUAGUUGGCGGGGUAAAGGCCCACCAAGGCGACGAUCGGUAGCUGGUCUGAGAGGACGACCAGCCACACUGGAACUGAGACACGGUCCAGACUCCUACGGGAGGCAGCAGUGGGGAAUAUUGGACAAUGGGCGCAAGCCUGAUCCAGCCAUGCCGCGUGGGUGAAGAAGGNCUUCGGGUUGUAAAGCCC
rnacentral:rRNA from 1 species